AGACUCCAAUGCGAUCUACGAGGUUUGGAUCCGCGUUUGUUCUCUCACUUGCGAUAUCACUGCUGCUUUCGUCCUCUUUGGGAAGCUGCAGCAGUCUGGUCUUCUCGGUCUGUUGGGUUCUAAAUAUCAGCGCCCACGAGAACAGACCAGAUAUCAAUGUAUGGCUGGACAACACUGAGCUGACAGCCAUAGGAAGUCAAGGCAAAUUUGUGUCUCUGUCGGUAACGCCACUCGAUGUACAUGAAUUACGCACCGAAUAUGAAGGAAUCGCACAAGUGUGGAACUUCUCGAUUG